AUUUCCGAAUGCACCGGGGACUUUGAUUUAUCCUACUUAUGGUGAAGGAGAACUAAUAGUCUAACACAAGCCUUUUGUCGUCGUGCUGCUGUCUAAGGAGGCCUUUUCUUUAAAUUUCCAAAUACCUUAAUUUCAUUCUCUUUUAAUAUUGCAUAUUGUUGAACUUAUAUGCUUAUUUACAUCUUAAACUUUUGUGAAUCAGGUUCGACGAAUGCCGGUUAUAUCUCUGCUUAUGGAUAAGAUCACUGAGUCGUAUGAAGGUGUUAGAUCAGUUUAUCCUGGAUCCAUCCUUUGUAAUUCCAUCAACACAGUGUUUGUCUCCUAAAGGAAUGGUAGCUAGGGGAAUACGCAUCACAAGGAAUGGUGGCUAGGGAAAUUUGCAUCACAAGGAGUGCUAUAUAUUCAGAUGUAUCAAAUUGCUAUGUGGUGUAUCCUCCUAAAUGUAAAACAGAUUUAAUCUCUGCAUUUUGUUAAGCAUCAGGGGCAUAUUAAACAUGAGAAAGGUACAUGAUAGGCAUAUGAAUGGUUAAUGUUCUAGCUUUGAGAUAUCAAAGAAAACUAAAUGAUUUAAACAUAUGAUAUUGAAGAGAAAAGAUUAAACAUUUCAAAUAAAUGUGUGAAUGAUUGAAUA